UAUCGAUAAUACUAAACCACCUGCGAGGGUGGGGCGGAAAGCCCACGGGUCUCCCCGAGACAGCCGGGUUGCCGAA
rnacentral:ncRNA from 1 species